rnacentral:rRNA from 1 species
UGGGGAAUUUUGGACAAUGGGCGAAAGCCUGAUCCAGCAAUGCCGCGUGUGUGAAGAAGGCCUUCGGGUUGUAAAGCACUUUUGUCCGGAAAGAAAUCCUUGGCUCUAAUACAGUCGGGGGAUGACGGUACCGGAAGAAUAAGCACCGGCUAACUACGUGCCAGCAGCCGCGGUAAUACGUAGGGUGCAAGCGUUAAUCGGAAUUACUGGGCGUAAAGCGUGCGCAGGCGGUUUGCUAAGACCGAUGUGAAAUCCCCGGGCUCAACCUGGGAACUGCAUUGGUGACUGGCAGGCUAGAGUAUGGCAGAGGGGGGUAGAAUUCCACGUAUAGCAGUGAAAUGCGUAGAGAUGUGGAGGAAUACCGAUGGCGAAGGCAGCCCCCUGGGCCAAUACUGACGCUCAUGCACGAAAGCGUGGGGAGCAAACAGGAUUAGAUACCCUGGUAGUCCACGCCCUAAAACGAUGUCAACUAGUUGUUGGGGAUUCAUUUCCUAGUAACGUAGCUAACGCGUGAAGUUGACCGCCUGGGGAGUACGGUCGCAAGAUUAAAACUCAAAUGAAUUGACGGGGUCAUAGCUG